UACAGAGGGUGCAAGCGUUAAUCGGAAUUACUGGGCGUAAAGCGUGCGUAGACGGUAGCGUAAGUCGGGUGUGAAAGCCCCGGGCUCAACCUGGGAAUUGCAUUCGAGACUGCUCUGCUAGGGUGCGGAAGAGGGGAGCGGAAUUUCCGGUGUAGCGGUGAAAUGCGUAGAUACCGGAAGGAACACCAGUGGCGAAAGCGGCUCCCUGGUCCAGCACCGACGUUCAGGCACGAAAGCGUGGGGAGCAAACAGG
rnacentral:rRNA from 1 species